GAUGAGCGAGCGAGAUGUAGAUGCCGUGGUAGUCCGUGCCGUAAGAGAUGAAGGGGUAGGUGUUGAAGGGUUUCCGCCCGUCAGUGCCGCAGCUAACGCAGUAAGCAUUCCGCCUGGGGAGUACGACCGCAAGGUUGAAACUCAAAGGAAUUGACGGGGGCCCGCACAAGCGGUGGAGCAUGUGGUUUAAUUCGAAGCAACGCGAAGAACCUUACCAGGUCUUGACAUCUUUUGAUCACCUGAGAGAUCAGGUUUCCCCUUCGGGGGCAAAAUGACAGGUGGUGCAUGGUUGUCGUCAGCUCGUGUCGUGAGAUGUUGGGUUAAGUCCCGCAACGAGCGCAACCCUUAUGACUAGUUGCCAGCAUUUAGUUGGGCACUCUAGUAAGACUGCCGGUGACAAACCGGAGGAAGGUGGGGAUGACGUCAAAUCAUCAUGCCCCUUAUGACCUGGGCUACACACGUGCUACAAUGGAUGGUACAACGAGUUGCGAGACCGCGAGGUCAAGCUAAUCUCUUAAAGCCAUUCUCAGUUCGGACUGUAGGCUGCAACUCGCCUACACGAAGUCGGAAUCGCUAGUAAUCGCGGAUCAGCACGCCGCGGUGAAUACGUUCCCGGGCCUUGUACACACCGCCCGUCACACCAUGAGAGUUUGUAACACCCGAAGCCGGUGGCGUAACC
rnacentral:rRNA from 1 species